rnacentral:rRNA from 1 species
UACGUAGGGGGCAAGCGUUGUCCGGAAUUAUUGGGCGUAAAGCGCGCGCAGGCGGCUAUUUAAGUCUGGUGUUUAAACCUUGGGCUCAACCUGGGGUCGCACCGGAAACUGGAUGGCUUGAGUACAGAAGAGGAAAGUGGAAUUCCACGUGUAGCGGUGAAAUGCGUAGAGAUGUGGAGGAACACCAGUGGCGAAGGCGACUUUCUGGGCUGUAACUGACGCUGAGGCGCGAAAGCGUGGGGAGCGAACAGG